GUAAGGAAUAUUGGACAAUGGACGCAAGUCUGAUCCAGCCAUGCCGCGUGAAGGAUUAAGGUCCUCUGGAUUGUAAACUUCUUUUAUAAGGGACGAAAAAAGGCUUUUCUAAGUCGUCUGACGGUACCUUAUGAAUAAGCACCGGCUAACUCCGUGCCAGCAGCCGCGGUAAUACGGAGGGUGCAGGCGUUAUCCGGAUUCACUGGGUUUAAAGGGUGCGUAGGCGGGCAGGUAAGUCAGUGGUGAAAUCCUAGAGCUUAACUCUAGAACUGCCAUUGAUACUAUCUGUCUUGAAUAUUGUGGAGGUAAGCGGAAUAUGUCAUGUAGCGGUGAAAUGCUUAGAUAUGACAUAGAACACCUAUUGCGAAGGCAGCUUACUACGCAUAUAUUGACGCUGAGGCACGAAAGCGUGGGGAUCAAACAGGAUUAGAAACCCGGGUAGUCC
rnacentral:rRNA from 1 species